GUAUUCAUUCAGGCAGCACAUAUAAUAAAAUUGAAUGACAAAGAGAAGAUUGGCAUGGUUCGUGGGUAAUAAUGACACACAAAUUUGUGAUGUGGUCCAUAUUUAA
rnacentral:snRNA from 1 species